rnacentral:rRNA from 1 species
GACGAACGCUGGCGGCGUGCUUAACACAUGCAAGUCGAACGAUGAAGCUGGAGCUUGCUCCGGUGGAUUAGUGGCGAACGGGUGAGUAACACGUGAGCAAUCUGCCCUUGACUCUGGGAUAACUGCGGGAAACUGUAGCUAAUACCGGAUACUUUCACUGGAAGGCAUCUUCUGGUGAAGAAAGAAUUUCGGUCAAGGAUGAGCUCGCGGCCUAUCAGCUUGUUGGUGAGGUAACGGCUCACCAAGGCGACGACGGGUAGCCGGCCUGAGAGGGUGACCAGCCACACUGGGACUGAGACACGGCCCAGACUCCUACGGGAGGCAGCAGUGGGGGAUAUUGCACAAUGGGAGCAAGCCUGAUGCAGCAACGCCGCGUGAGGGAUGAAGGCCUUCGGGUUGUAAACCUCUUUUAGCAGGGAAGAAGCGAAAGUGACGGUACCUGCAGAAAAAGCACCGGCUAACUACGUGCCAGCCGCCGCGGUAA